AUGACGCCGACGAGCUCCUCCUCCUUGCCCAUGGAAAGCAACCUCGUCCUCGUCCCGGAAUACCCCUCACCCUCAGCCCCUCUGACGCAGCACCAAGCGAAAAUGGUGCAACUUGAGAAAGAAGAGGACCCCUCGGUCCACGACGAAUCCAUGGUGGAUGACAACGAGGACUGCGUGGAGAGGAUGACGGUUCAGAGGAAGAAGAAUUGCAGCAGGCUGGACCUUCAAAGAAGGCCGUGUACAACAAGGUGGGGCUCCUUGAGAAGCUCAAGGACAUGGCCUGGCCAGAGAAUGUUGUGGACUGGACGCACGAGCUCGCCGUCGGUCACGACCAGGGGGAGAAGGUCGACGUGA
rnacentral:rRNA from 1 species